rnacentral:rRNA from 1 species
CAGUCGAGCGCAGUCCUUCGGGACCGAGCGGCGGACGGGUUAGUAACGCGUGGGAACAUACCCUUUGGUACGGAAUAGCCUCUGGAAACGGAGAGUAAUACCGUAUGUGCCCUUCGGGGGAAAGAUUUAUCGCCAAAGGAUUGGCCCGCGUUAGAUUAGAUAGUUGGUGGGGUAAUGGCCUACCAAGUCUACGAUCUAUAGCUGGUUUUAGAGGAUGAUCAGCAACACUGGGACUGAGACACGGCCCAGACUCCUACGGGAGGCAGCAGUGGGGAAUCUUAGACAAUGGGCGCAAGCCUGAUCUAGCCAUGCCGCGUGUGUGAUGAAGGCCUUAGGGUCGUAAAGCACUUUCGCCAGGGAUGAUAAUGACAGUACCUGGUAAAGAAACCCCGGCUAACUCCGUGCCAGCAGCCGCGGUAAUACGGAGGGGGUUAGCGUUGUUCGGAAUUACUGGGCGUAAAGCGUACGUAGGCGGAUCAGAAAGUAUGGGGUGAAAUCCCAGGGCUCAACCCUGGAACUGCCUCAUAAACUCCUGGUCUUGAGUUCGAGAGAGGUGAGUGGAAUUCCGAGUGUAGAGGUGAAAUUCGUAGAUAUUCGGAGGAACACCAGUGGCGAAGGCGGCUCACUGGCUCGAUACUGACGCUGAGGUACGAAAGUGUGGGGAGCAAACAGGAUUAGAUACCCUGGUAGUCCACACCGU